GACGAACGCGGCGGCGUGCCUAAUACAUGCAAGUAGAACGCUGAAGGAGGAGCUUGCUCUUCUGGAUGAGUUGCGAACGGGUGAGUAACGCGUAGGUAACCUGCCUGGUAGCGGGGGAUAACUAUUGGAAACGAUAGCUAAUACCGCAUAAUAGUAGAUGUUGCAUGACAUUUACUUAAAAGGUGCAAUUGCAUCACUACCAGAUGGACCUGCGUUGUAUUAGCUAGUUGGUGGGGUAACGGCUCACCAAGGCGACGAUACAUAGCCGACCUGAGAGGGUGAUCGGCCACACUGGGACUGAGACACGGCCCAGACUCCUACGGGAGGCAGCAGUAGGGAAUCUUCGGCAAUGGACGGAAGUCUGACCGAGCAACGCCGCGUGAGUGAAGAGGGUUUUCGGAUCGUAAAGCUCUGUUGUAAGAGAAGAACGAGUGUGAGAGUGGAAAAGUUCACACUG
rnacentral:rRNA from 1 species